UUUUAUAAAUCUUAUUAAUACAUUUUAACGUAUAGUUAAUUAUAUUUAAAUAGAAUUUACGAAUUUUAGAAAUAAAAAUGUAAUUAACGAAUAUUUAUUUUUAUACGUUUUAAAUAUUUCAACGAUUUAUGAAAUUAAAAUAAUUUUAGAAUUUCAUGUUGAAAAUAAAUCGAAUUACAAAACCGAUUGAAUUUAGAGAACGUUCCUAAUCGAUUUUGGAAUGAAAUCCUAAAACUAAGUUCCUAAUUCUAGCCCACUUUGGUAAAGCCCAUUGUGAUAAACCUAAACCCCCAUAAUCUCAUCUCACGUGAAACCAAAGAAACAACAAAAGAAAAAUCUCUCUCCUUCAUCCUUCACCCUUCACGUGAACCCUCAAACCCUCAAACCUUGCAGCCGCCAGCCACCAGCCACCGCACACCGCCUGCACCACCCUCGCCGUCGGCGUCUCCUCCUUCGUCCGCAACCACCACCCACCUACGAAACUGACCGCGACAGCCACCGUCCUGUGUCGUCGCCGACCAACCAGCACCAACUUCGCAAUCCUUCCACACGCAAACAGUCCUCCCUUUGGCUUGCUCCUUGCUCACGGCACCACCACCAACGACCCGAGCAACCCUCGCUGCCACCAUCGACAGCCGCCACCGCCGCUGCCGCGCCAUCUCCGACCGCCGUCCAACCACUCUUCAUUCUUUCUUUUGGUGGAGAAUUCUCCGUAGGCGACUUUUGAAUUCUUAAAGUGGUCUCGCAUUUUGUUUACACAAGGUCGCGCUUUAGGAUGGCCAACAAUAAUGACCUAGCUGCUGCUAUUCGCCUCUUGGCGGAAAAACUAGCCCAGGAAAGAACUGAGCGCCCCGAUUCUGCAGGGGACAUGUUUGAAAGGUUUGCGAAAGUUAAGCCACCAUACUUCAAGGGGCAAGCAGACCCGACCUUCCUAGAACGCUGGAUUAGGGAGUUUGAAAAACUAUUUUGGGCGGUAAAUUGUCCUGAAAAUAUGAAAGUAGGCCAAGCUGUCCUUUACCUAAAAGAUGAGGCCGAUCUAUGGUGGAAAGAAAAUAGAACUAAGCUAAG